AUUGAACGCUGGCGGCAGGCUUAACACAUGCAAGUCGAGCGGAGAUGAGGUGCUUGCACCUUAUCUUAGCGGCGGACGGGUGAGUAAUGCUUAGGAAUCUGCCUAUUAGUGGGGGACAACAUUCCGAAAGGAAUGCUAAUACCGCAUACGCCCUACGGGGGAAAGCAGGGGAUCUUCGGACCGUGCGCUAAUAGAUGAGCCUAAGUCGGAUUAGCUAGUUGGUGGGGUAAAGGCCUACCAAGGCGACGAUCUGUAGCGGGUCUGGGAGGAUGAUCCGCCACACUGGGACUGAGACACGGCCCAGACUCCUACGGGAGGCAGCAGUGGGGAAUAUUGGACAAUGGGCGGAAGCCUGAUCCAGCCAUGCCGCGUGUGUGAAGAAGGCCUUUUGGUUGUAAAGCACUUUAAGCGAGGAGGAGGCUACCUGGAUUAAUACUCUAGGAUAGUGGACGUUACUCGCAGAAUAAGCACCGGCUAACUCUGUGCCAGCAGCCGCCGUAAUAC
rnacentral:rRNA from 1 species